CGUCAUCAAGAUUUCUCGCUCGAAACGUACGCUUUGGUAAAGAGAACCGCAACUAAGAAUGUCGUAGGACAAUCGCUUUGACCAUUCCAUUUAAUUUUGACGUGACACAGAUGUAGGUAGAAGGCUAUACGGCUGAUGGGACAUUAGACAAUGCACCUGCAGUGUCUUUAAGCGACUCGACUUUCUGACGAAAAGGCACACAACGUCGGUAAAUUAUUGAAAAACCAUUCGGGAUAACGAACGGUGGGUGGUUUGCGUGAUUCAUCCACGCUGAACCGAUUGAGGUAAUUUCUAACAUCAGCCGUUUCAUCUAGCCCCCCCGCUUAAUCCGGGUCUGUGUUCUUAAAGUACGGUUAUAAGUGCCUGUUUCCACGAGUGACCACAUUCAAAAAUUAAAAAAAAAAAAAAAAUAGUUUAGUUAAAUAAUAAUAUGGAAAAUGUACAUUAAAGCAUUCCGGUGCGUUCCUUUUAUUUCAUCCGAUGUUAAAACCUCUCUCGUAGAAACUGGUCCUUUUCAAAUUUUUAGCUAUGACCAAAUCUGAAACAAAAACGAUUAAAUAUUUGGCGAUGAUAAAACGCUAUUUAUUUCCCCAGUUUAUGCGAUUUACAGUGAUAUUACGCGAUUUGUCUCGUUUCCAGUAGUUGACAUCAUGUUAUAGAAAUCACC